rnacentral:rRNA from 1 species
ACUCCUACGGGAGGCAGCAGUGGGGAAUAUUGGACAAUGGGCGCAAGCCUGAUCCAGCCAUGCCGCGUGAGUGAUGAAGGCCCUAGGGUUGUAAAGCUCUUUCACCGGUGAAGAUAAUGACGGUAACCGGAGAAGAAGCCCCGGCUAACUUCGUGCCAGCAGCCGCGGUAAUACGAAGGGGGCUAGCGUUGUUCGGAUUUACUGGGCGUAAAGCGCACGUAGGCGGACUAUUAAGUCAGGGGUGAAAUCCCGGGGCUCAACCCCGGAACUGCCUUUGAUACUGGUAGUCUUGAGUUCGAGAGAGGUGAGUGGAAUUCCGAGUGUAGAGGUGAAAUUCGUAGAUAUUCGGAGGAACACCAGUGGCGAAGGCGGCUCACUGGCUCGAUACUGACGCUGAGGUGCGAAAGCGUGGGGAGCAAACAGGAUUAGAAACCCUGGUAGUCCC